AUUGGACGCUGGCGGCAGGCCUAACACAUGCAAGUCGAGCGGCAGCGGGAAAGUAGCUUGCUACUUUUGCCGGCGAGCGGCGGACGGGUGAGUAAUGCCUGGGAAAUUGCCCAGUCGAGGGGGAUAACAGUUGGAAACGACUGCUAAUACCGCAUACGCCCUACGGGGGAAAGCAGGGGACCUUCGGGCCUUGCGCUAUCAGAUGAGCCUAGGUCGGAUUAGCUAGUUGGUGGGGUAAUGGCUCACCAAGGCGACGAUCCGUAACUGGUCUGAGAGGAUGAUCAGUCACACUGGAACUGAGACACGGUCCAGACUCCUACGGGAGGCAGCAGUGGGGAAUAUUGGACAAUGGGCGAAAGCCUGAUCCAGCAAUACCGCGUGUGUGAAGAAGGCCUUAGGGUUGUAAAGCACUUUCAAUUGGAAGGAAAACCUCGAAGCUAAUACCUUCGAGUUUGACAUUACCUUUAGAAGAAGCACCGGCUAACUCCGUGCCAGCCGCCGCGGUAA
rnacentral:rRNA from 1 species